rnacentral:tRNA from 1 species
GCCAGAGUAGCUCAAUGGUAGAGCCGCCCGCUCAUAACGGGUAGGUUGUUAGGUUCGAUUCCUACCUCUGGCACCA